rnacentral:rRNA from 1 species
GACGAACGCUGGCGGCGUGCCUAACACAUGCAAGUCGAACGGAAAGUUAGCAAUAACUUUUAGUGGCGAACGGGUGAGUAACGCGUGGGCAACCUGCCCUUCAGACGGGGACAACAUUCCGAAAGGAGUGCUAAUACCGGAUACGACCUUUAGACCGCAUGGUUUAAAGAAGAAAGGUGGCCUCUAUUUAUAAGCUACCGCUGAAGGAUGGGCCUGCGUCUGAUUAGCUAGUUGGUGGGGUAAAGGCCUACCAAGGCGACGAUCAGUAGCCGGUCUGAGAGGCUGAGCGGCCACACUGGGACUGAGACACGGCCCAGACUCCUACGGGAGGCAGCAGUGGGGAAUCUUCCGCAAUGGGCGAAAGCCUGACGGAGCAACGCCGCGUGAGUGAAGAAGGUCUUCGGAUUGUAAAGCUCUGUUGUUAGGGACGAAUAAGUACCGUUCGAAUGGGGCGGUACCUUGACGGUACCUGACGAGAAAGCCACGGCUAACUACGUGCCAGCCGCCGCCGUAA